rnacentral:rRNA from 1 species
CACGUAGGGCGCAAGCGUUGUCCGGAAUUAUUGGGCGUAAAGAGCUCGUAGGCGGUUUGUUGCGUCUGCUGUGAAAACUCGGGGCUUAACCCCGGGCCUGCAGUGGGUACGGGCAGACUAGAGUGCGGUAGGGGAGACUGGAAUUCCUGGUGUAGCGGUGAAAUGCGCAGAUAUCAGGAGGAACACCGGUGGCGAAGGCGGGUCUCUGGGCCGUAACUGACGCUGAGGAGCGAAAGCGUGGGGAGCGAACAGG